rnacentral:misc_RNA from 1 species
AAGGUCGUAACAAGGUUUCCCGUAGGUGAACCCUGCGGAAGGAUCAUUACAAAGUAAAUGCUGGUAGGAAGUGGGGUUCUUGAUCUGUAAGUGGUAGAGCGAAGCAGUCCGGCUGCCUCCCGAAACUGUCUUACAUGUCCCCCACAGCCUGCAAUGGCCAGGAAUUAAUCAACCCACUUGAUUAUCUACACUUGUUGCUUUGGGGAUGCUCAAGUCCCCAGAGGACCCAACUCUCUUGCAUUUUCAGUGACGUCUGAGUACUAUAUAAUAUUUUGAAAAG